rnacentral:rRNA from 1 species
UACGGGGGGGGCAAGCGUUGUUCGGAAUUACUGGGCGUAAAGGGUUUGUAGGUGGCUUGUUAAGUCAGACGUGAAAUCCCUCAGCUUAACUGGGGAACUGCGUCUGAUACUGGCGAGCUUGAGUACAGAUGAGGUAGGCGGAAUUGACGGUGUAGCGGUGAAAUGCUUAGAUAUCGUCAAGAACACCUAUAGCGAAGGCAGCUUACUAGGCUGUAACUGACGCUGAGGCACGAAAGUGUGGGGAUCAAACAGG